AGAAUUUGAUCUUGGUUCAGAUUGAAUGCUGACGGCGUGGAUGAGGCAUGCGAGUCGAACGAAGUAGUUUACUACUUAGUGGCGAAAGGGUUAGGAAUACAUGGAUAACGUGCCCUUAACUCGGGAAUAACAGCUGGAAACGGCUGCUAAAACCGGAUGUGGUUGCCGGAGGUAUCUCCGAUUUACUAAAGUGGGGGAUCUAGCAAUAGACCUUGUGGUUAGGGAGCGGUUCAUGCGAUAUCAGCUUGUUGGUGAGGUAAAGGCUCACCAAGGCUAAGACGUCUAGGCGGACUGAGAGGUUGACCGCCAACACUGGGACUGAGACACUGCCCAGACUCCUACGGGAGGCUGCAGUCGAGAAUCUUUCGCAAUGGGCGAAAGCCUGACGAAGCGACGCCGUGUGAGCGAUGAAGGCCUUCGGGUUGUAAAGCUCUUUCGCAAGGGAACAAGGGAGGGGGGCUAAUAAUCUCCUAACUUGAGGGUACUUUGUAAAGAAGCACCGGCUAACUCCGUGCCAGCAGCUGCGGUAAUACGGAGGGUGCAAGCAUUAAUCGGAUUUACUGGGCGUAAAGGGUGUGCAGGCGGAUUGGUAAGUCAAGUGUGAAAUUCCGGUUCUCAAUAUCGGAGCGGCACUUGAAACUGCCUUUCUAGAGUAUAGGCGGAGAAAACGGAAUUCCAUAUGUAGCGGUGAAAUGCGUAGAUAUAUGGAAGAACACCUGUGGCGAAAGCGGUUUUCUAGCUUAUUACUGACGCUCAGACACGAGAGCGUGGGGAGCAAACAGGAUUAGAUACCCUGGUAGUCCACGCUGUAAACGAUGUGUACUUGAUGUAGAUUGGCUCAACCCAGUCUGUAUCGUAGCUAACGCGAUAAGUACACCGCCUGGGAAGUACACUCGCAAGGGUGAAACUCAAAAGAAUUGACGGGGGCUCGCACAAGCAGUGGAGCAUGUGGUUUAAUUCGAUACUACGCGAAGAACCUUACCUAGACUUGACAUAUAGUAGACCGGUACGGAAACGUACUUUCCCGCAAGGGCUGCUAAACAGAUGCUGCAUGGCUGUCGUCAGCUCGUGCCGUGAGGUGUUGGGUUAAGUCCCGCAACGAGCGCAACCCUUGUCAUUAGUUGCCAGCACGUAAUGGUGGGAACUCUAAUGAGACUGCCUGGGUUAACCAGGAGGAAGGUGAGGAUGACGUCAAGUCCGCAUGGCUCUUACGUCUAGGGCUACACACGUGCUACAAUGGCUGGUACAAUAGGCGGCUAUACCGAAAGGUGGAGCAAAUCCUCUAAAACCAGCCCCAGUUCGGAUUGAGGUCUGCAACUCGGCCUCAUGAAGUUGGAAUUGCUAGUAAUGGCGUGUCAGCAAUAUCGCCGUGAAUACGUUCUCGAGCCUUGUACACACCGCCCGUCACAUCACGGAAGUUGGUUUCACCCGAAGUCGCUGACUCAACCGCAAGGAGAGAGGCGCCGAAGGUGGGGCUGAUGACUAGGAUGAAGUCGUAACAAGGUA
rnacentral:rRNA from 1 species